rnacentral:rRNA from 1 species
AGUCGAGGGGCAGCAUAAGAUCAGCUUGCUGAUUUGGUGGCGACCGGCGCACGGGUGCGUAACGCGUAUGCAAUCUACCUUGUACAGAGAGAUAGCCCAGAGAAAUUUGGAUUAAUACCUCAUAGUAUCAUUGAAUGGCAUCAUUUAAUGAUUAAAGUUUCGGCGGUACAAGAUGAGCAUGCGUCCUAUUAGUUAGAUGGUAAGGUAACGGCUUACCAUGGCUACGAUAGGUAGGGGUUCUGAGAGGAUGAUCCCCCACACUGGUACUGAGACACGGACCAGACUCCUACGGGAGGCAGCAGUGAGGAAUAUUGGUCAAUGGACGCAAGUCUGAACCAGCCAUGCCGCGUGCAGGAAGACGGUCCUCUGGAUUGUAAACUGCUUUUAUUUGGGAAGAAACCCCCGGUCGUGCAUCGGGGCUGACAGUACCAAAGGAAUAAGCACCGGCUAACUCCGUGCCAGCAGCCGCGGUAAUACGGAGGGUGCAAGCGUUAUCCGGAAUCAUUGGGUUUAAAGGGUCCGCAGGCGGGCUAAUAAGUCAGUGGUGAAAUCCCUCAGCUUAACUGAGGAACUGCCAUUGAUACUGCUAGUCUUGAAUUCGGUCGAAGUGGGCGGAAUGUGUCAUGUAGCGGUGAAAUGCAUAGAUAUGACACAGAACACCGAUAGCGAAGGCAGCUCACUGGGCCUGAAUUGACGCUCAGGGACGAAAGCGUGGGGAGCAAACAGGANUAGAUACCCUGNUAGUCCACGCCGUAAACGAUGAUUACUCGAUAUUGGCGAUAUACGGUCAGUGUCUAAGCGAAAGUGAUAAGUAAUCCACCUGGGGAGUACGAUCGCAAGGUUGAAACUC